rnacentral:misc_RNA from 1 species
GAUGAAGAACGCAGUGAAAUGCGAUACGUAGUGUGAAUUGCAGAAUUCCGUGAACCAUCGAAUCUUUGAACGCAAAUUGCGCUCGAGGCCUCGGCCAAGAGCAUGUCUGCCUCAGCGUCGGCUACUACCCUCAACUAAGUUUCCUAUACACAUAGGGGAUGCCGGUUGGAUCUGGCCGUCCGGUUUGCCUUUUAGGUUGCCGGUCAGCUGAAAUACAUUCACGCUCUGGGGGCUGCUUUCCUUCCGAGGAGAGGCGAGUUCCGAUUUGGUAGGUGACCUUUGCCGGUUGCAUGCCUUCGUUGCCCGCUAAGCUUUCCAGUAUGCGUUGUGCAGGACACCUUUUGGCUUUCGACCUGAGGUCAGGCAAGAACACCCGCUGAACUUAAGCAUAUCAAUAAGCGGAGGA